UACCCUGUGGUACCGAGCUGUGUCU
rnacentral:miRNA from 2 species